rnacentral:rRNA from 1 species
AAGAUCCUACGGGGGGCAGCAGUGGGGAAUAUUGCGCAAUGGGCGAAAGCCUGACGCAGCGACGCCGCGUGAGGGAUGGAGGUCUUCGGAUCGUAAACCUCUGUCAGCAGGGAAGAACGGUCACUGUGCUAAUCAGCAGUGAAUUGACGGUACCUGCAAAGGAAGCACCGGCUAACUCCGUGCCAGCAGCCGCGGUAAUACGGAGGGUGCGAGCGUUGAUCGGAAUUACUGGGCGUAAAGCGCUCGUAGGCGGUAUGUCAAGUCAAGGGUGAAGUCCCCGCGCUCAACGUGGGGACUG